UGACAAUUUACAUAUUUUCAAUCAUAUAAAUGUAAUGCAACGAAUCCGUAUUUAACGUCAUUAAUUAAUAGUGAUGAUGUACCUUGAAUAAUAACUCUAUAACUUGUUUCAUAAAAAUUUAUUUGCAUUAAUUUUAAUUCGGUAGCCACAUUGGAGCUGGGAUUUUCAGCGCGAAGCACCACCGCCUCCAUGGCGAUGGUAGCUCCGCCGCCCUCUUGGGCUUCGCGAGAUCCAGCAACUAUAUUAACCAGUGUUAGCAAUCAUACUGUUCAUUCUAAUCAGUUAGGAACAAAUAUACCAAUUACGCCAACACAUUUAACAUCAACUGCAGUCCCUGAAGAUAUUACGUGUCUUAUGAAUUCUGCGUCUAUUUUAACUCGUGAUCCCCUGCCUCAAAGUACUACGCCUGGAAGUCAAGGAAACAGUUCACAAUCUGGAAGUUCUCAAACAGACAAAUCAUCGAAUAUUGAAUGUGUAGUUUGUGGUGAUAAAAGUAGUGGAAAACAUUAUGGACAAUUUACUUGUGAAGGAUGCAAAAGUUUCUUUAAAAGAAGUGUCAGAAGAAAUCUAACGUAUUCUUGUAGAGGUAAUCGUAAUUGUCCUAUAGAUCAGCAUCACAGAAAUCAAUGUCAAUAUUGUCGACUUAAAAAGUGUCUCAAAAUGGGUAUGCGGCGAGAAGCUGUUCAAAGAGGGCGGGUUCCGCCGACACAACCUAAUCUUCCGGGAUUAUCAGGACAAUUUUCUCUAAUAAAUGGGGAUACAGUUUCAUGUUCUAAUAUAAAUGGACAUUCAUAUUUAUCUUCAUAUAUAAGUUUAUUAUUAAGAGCAGAACCAUAUGCAACUUCAAGAUAUAACCAAGGCAUGCAAUCAAAUAAUAUAAUGGGUAUUGAUAGUAUAUGUGAACUUGCAGCAAGACUAUUAUUUUCAGCUGUAGAAUGGGCAAGAAAUAUUCCAUUUUUUCCUGAUUUACAAGUCACCGAUCAAGUAGCGCUUUUAAGACUAGUAUGGAGUGAACUAUUUGUGUUAAAUGCAAGUCAGUGUUCGAUGCCACUUCAUGUAGCACCUCUUUUAGCAGCUGCAGGUCUACAUGCAUCACCGAUGGCAGCUGAUCGAGUAGUAGCUUUCAUGGAUCAUAUUAGGAUUUUUCAGGAACAAGUGGAAAAAUUAAAAGUCUUACAUGUAGAUUCAGCAGAAUAUAGUUGUCUAAAAGCAAUCGUUCUAUUUACUACAGAUUAUAACCGGAAAGGUGAACAGUAUAUUAAUAUAGUGAAUAUCGCUGAUGACCUUGAUAAUCCAAAAGAGAUGGCAGUAAAUUCAUACUACUGUAUUAGCGUAACGCAGAUGUACGAAACUCGCAUGAAAAUAAACUGGAGAAGAAACCGAAUAAGGAGUAAAUAAAUAAAGGAGUCUGUAUUAUAAAACGUCAUUAUUUGAUGAAAUAUCUACAUAAAAUUCUAUAAAGUUAAAAAUGGUAGUGCAGAAAACCAUGCAGAUAAUGUAUAUAACCAUAAAUACUUAGCAUACAGAUAAAUUAUUACUUAAAAAAGAAAUAUUCCAUGAUCAUCGUAAUUGAAACUUAAAAAAUGUUCAAUACGAUGCUUGUGGUUUGUCUGAUGUUGCUCACAUAGAAUCCCUUCAAGAAAAAUCUCAAUGUGCAUUAGAAGAAUAUUGUCG